rnacentral:rRNA from 1 species
UACAGAGGUCCCAAGCGUUGUUCGGAUUCACUGGGCGUAAAGGGUGCGUAGGCGGUCGGGUAAGUCUGAUGUGAAAUCUCACAGCUUAACUGUGAAACUGCAUUGGAUACUGUCCGGCUAGAGGAAUGGAGGGGAGACUGGAAUACUUGGUGUAGCAGUGAAAUGCGUAGAUAUCAAGUGGAACACCAGUGGCGAAGGCGAGUCUCUGGACAUUUCCUGACGCUGAGGCACGAAAGCCAGGGGAGCAAACGGG